GUGGACGCUAGCGGCGCGCCUAACACAUGCAAGUCGAGUGGGUUUAGACCCACGGCAAACGGCUGCGUAACACGUUGGAACCUGCCCCGAACUCAGGGAUAUCCCUCCGAAAGGAGGAGUAAUACCGGAUGCCCUCGCAAGAGGAAAGAUUUAUCGGUUCGGGAGGGGCCUGCGGCCUAUCAGCUAGUUGGUGAGGUAACGGCUCACCAAGGCAAUGACGGGUAGCUGAUCUGAGAGGAUGAUCAGCCAGAAUGGAACUGCGACACGGUCCAUACUCCUACGGGAGGCAGCAGUGAGGAAUCUUCCGCAAUGGACGAAAGUCUGACGGAGCGACGCCGCGUGGUGGAUGAAGGCCUUCACUGGUCGUAAACACCUGUUCUGAGGGACGAAAUUUUUGACGGUACCUCAGGAGAAAGUAUCGGCAAACCCUGU
rnacentral:rRNA from 1 species